rnacentral:rRNA from 1 species
CGGCCUAACACAUGCAAGUCGAGCGGUAACACAGAGAGCUUGCUCUCGGGUGACGAGCGGCGGACGGGUGAGUAAUGUCUGGGAAACUGCCUGAUGGAGGGGGAUAACUACUGGAAACGGUAGCUAAUACCGCAUAACGUCGCAAGACCAAAGUGGGGGACCUUCGGGCCUCAUGCCAUCAGAUGUGCCCAGAUGGGAUUAGCUAGUAGGUGGGGUAAUGGCUCACCUAGGCGACGAUCCCUAGCUGGUCUGAGAGGAUGACCAGCCACACUGGAACUGAGACACGGUCCAGACUCCUACGGGAGGCAGCAGUGGGGAAUAUUGCACAAUGGGCGCAAGCCUGAUGCAGCCAUGCCGCGUGUAUGAAGAAGGCCUUCGGGUUGUAAAGUACUUUCAGCGAGGAGGAAGGCGUUAAGGUUAAUAACCUUGGCGAUUGACGUUACUCGCAGAAGAAGCACCGGCUAACUCCGUGCCAGCAGCCGCGGUAAUACGGAGGGUGCAAGCGUUAAUCGGAAUUACUGGGCGUAAAGCGCACGCAGGCGGUCUGUCAAGUCGGAUGUGAAAUCCCCGGGCUCAACCUGGGAACUGCAUUCGAAACUGGCAGGCUAGAGUCUUGUAGAGGGGGGUAGAAUUCCAGGUGUAGCGGUGAAAUGCGUAGAGAUCUGGAGGAAUACCGGUGGCGAAGGCGGCCCCCUGGACAAAGACUGACGCUCAGGUGCGAAAGCGUGGGGAGCAAACAGGAUUAGAUACCCUGGUAGUCCACGCCGUAAACGAUGUCGACUUGGAGGUUGUGCCCUUGAGGCGUGGCUUCCGGAGCUAACGCGUUAAGUCGACCGCCUGGGGAGUACGGCCGCAAGGUUAAAACUCAAAUGAAUUGACGGGGGCCCGCACAAGCGGUGGAGCAUGUGGUUUAAUUCGAUGCAACGCGAAGAACCUUACCUACUCUUGACAUCCAGAGAACUUAGCAGAGAUGCUUUGGUGCCUUCGGGAACUCUGAGACAGGUGCUGCAUGGCUGUCGUCAGCUCGUGUUGUGAAAUGUUGGGUUAAGUCCCGCAACGAGCGCAACCCUUAUCCUUUGUUGCCAGCGGUCCGGCCGGGAACUCAAAGGAGACUGCCAGUGAUAAACUGGAGGAAGGUGGGGAUGACGUCAAGUCAUCAUGGCCCUUACGAGUAGGGCUACACACGUGCUACAAUGGCAUAUACAAAGAGAAGCGACCUCGCGAGAGCAAGCGGACCUCAUAAAGUAUGUCGUAGUCCGGAUUGGAGUCUGCAACUCGACUCCAUGAAGUCGGAAUCGCUAGUAAUCGUAGAUCAGAAUGCUACGGUGAAUACGUUCCCGGGCCUUGUACACACCGCCCGUCACACCAUGGGAGUGGGUUGCAAAAGAAGUAGGUAGCUUAACCUUCGGGAGGGCGCUAC